GAGAGGAGAGCUUGAUAAUCGU
rnacentral:siRNA from 1 species